rnacentral:lncRNA from 1 species
AAGUUAUAAAAACUCUAGCUUCUUUUCUUCAAAUAUUUGUCUUUGUUCUUCAAAUACUUUUUGGGUUUGAGAUAUAGAGAGAGAAGCGUAAGGCCUCUAUCUAGUAACCAUAACCAUGAGAGGGCACACCGGUGAAAUAGAAGGGGUAGGAUCUUGCGAGAUUGAGACUCUCAUUUCUAGACGGAGACUUGGAGAACUAAGUCAUAAACUUAUCAGGUAUAACUCUCUAUCCCUAUUCCCCCGACAGAACCAGUUGUCUUGAGGCACGAUUUACAAUGUGUAUGUUUUUUUUCUUGACGUAUAAAUCUGAUAUGAAAAAUAAAAAACAUUGUAAGCAACGACUAUUCUCUAAACCCCAUAUAUUUCUGUAUCAGAGCCUAUAGUUACUUCCUUGCAGGAAGUCAUCGGAAACUUUAAAUACUUAAGUUACACAUUCUUUUUAAAGAGUAAACACUUCCUAUGACGGUGUGUAAUCCUAAGUAAAGAUAAAACUUAUUUGUGGUUAUUGGUUUACCAACGUUGGGUUAAAACAUAACUAGCAACCAUAAGGGAGAUAAAUCCUAAUGAAGCCAAUAGGCGUCUCUAUUAUUUAGAUAUUGCUAUACCUAACGUUCAUAAUGACCUUACCUAUAAUAGUAAUAAUCAAAUAAAUUGUAAUUUUAGAUGAAAAGGUGAAAGACAUUAUACUCACAUUUGGCAUAACAUUAAUGAUACUCUAGAAAAUAAACAAUUAAACACCAUUGUAGACUUAAUAAUAAACUUUAUAAUAGUGACCAAAAAAUAAUUCAAGAUUUAAAGCACAUAAUAUGACAAAAAAAAAUCUAAUAAUUCAUUAGAAAUAAAUUUAUUAUUUCAAAAGAUAAUAAACAACCAAGGGUUUAUAAAGUCAGAAAUAGAAUAGUAAACGGAAAAAAAUGUUAACUAAAGCCGAUAAAUUCCUAUCUAAGAAAAGAAUACAAGAACUAGUUGAAGUUCGUAAAGUAGUAGAAAACAAACCAUAAAAUUAAUAACUAAUUUUCAAGAAGAAACACUUUAACCUGCAUGUUUGUUGGUCAUUAAAUGAUAAAAGACAGGUAGCUGAAAAGGGGCUUUCUAGUGUCCAAGCCAGUAAACCAUUUGCAAGAUUUCUCCUUAACUACCAACGCCCAAAUACAGACUCUAAAUAACAGUUUAGAGAAGGUCAAGAGAAAUAUUGACAGAGUCGGUCAAACUACAGGAUUGCCAACUCCUACGCCAGUAAUACCCGAUGUAGAAAACAUAAAAGAAAGAUUAAAUACUAUAUAUAGGGGCACUCGAGCUUUAGUAAUAUUGAGAGAACAGGAUAAUAAUAAAAAUAAGCAUUACAACAAAAUCUGCACACAUAAACAAAACAAUUUAACAAGAGGCUAUAGUUCAAAUAAUUGGCCACACGUCAAAGCAUUUGAAAUUGAUUAAGGAAUAAAAAGAAGUGAAAGAUUGGAUAGAGCCCUCUCAUGACAACAAAUCCAACCAGAAGUAUUUUAAGAAAAUAGAUUUAACAAAAACAGAAAUGCCAACAUUGCUACAAAGGUGAGGAUAUGCCAACAGAUAACAUUCACCUCUAGUCUAGUAUAGGAGAUUAUUAGAAAGCAACUACAUGUUCUGCUACUUUUCCUGUCCAUGCCCCAAAACAAACUCUUCAGCAAUGAAAAUCAAAACAUUUCCUUUCAUCUUCAGAUAUCAUAUAGUGACACAACCUGCAAUGCCCUAAGACGUCAGUUCUAAGAAAUUCAUCAAUGGUGAGACUAUUUGGUUUCAUUGAUAACCUUUCCACAUCCUCUACUGCCAUUGACAUCAAUAGUCAAAAGGACUAACAAAUCAUAAUAAAAAUAAUAGUAAUAAUAAUAACAACUGCGACAAAGAAGAGAGAAGAAGAAGCCAGAACUAGAGAUAACAAAUAGUAGAGAGGACAGAGGCCAAUAUGAAUGACGUCGGCAACUCUAAGCCUAUACAAGGAUUCAUCAUUGGGGAGGGCAGGUUGAUGAGCAAACUAACAUCCAAGAGUGUUUAGGGAAUGUGAUCUCGAGGCCAAAUAUGCCCAUAGAAGCAAAAAGGGGUGAUAAAUAUACACAUAUGUACUAUCAAAUAAAACCAUAGAAAACCCGCCUCACGACAGCAAAGAUUAAAUAUACAUAUAAAUACAGAUUUAAUCAACCAGAAAUACUGUCUGCAUUUCUUUGACGCAUUGGGCUUAAAUAGAUUCAUGAUAUAAAGUCUAAGGUAUCUCUAAGAUUGCUCACUAAAAAUACACUCGGAGAAGGAAAAGUGAAAAAUAUGCACAUAUAUAUUUAUAGUUCGGCACUGUAUAUGGCAUUUGUUAAUGCCAGAAGUCAAAAAAUACAAACUCCAUACACAGUUCUAUUCGAACUAAAUUAGCAUCUUUUGGCUGAACACGUCUGACUCACAAAUGCACUAGAAGUGCAAAUAAAAAGAGCCCUCAGACCUCAUGGCUAUGCAAACAUCAUGUACAGUUCCACUGUAAACACAUCCUUCAAUGGCUUUUCAUACACCGCCUGACCACCAAAGAAAUGUCUAUAUAGAUAUAGAUAGAUAUGUAUAGUGUGUGUAUGUGUGUGUUGGAAAAUCAUCCAAUACACAGCCAGUAUAAAGACCAUCCAAGAGAGAGAGAGAGUGAAAGGAGGUGGAGUGCAAAAGCCAGAGUCGAAUAUAAAACCAGAACCAUUCAAUCAAAAAAGAGUAUUCCAUCAUCGGGCUCUCAAUGAAACCCAAGGCACCGGUUUCUAAAACCCUACAUAACAUCAUUGAAAGAAGAAAUUAUGAUUUACUAAAAGAGUAUAUACUGAGAAAGCAAAAGGUACAGUGGUCACCAAGGCUCUAAUCAAGCUUCAGAUACCCUAGAAGUCCUAUAACAACAACAAAGGAAGAUAUAUUUCAAAGAAAGAAAUGUAAAUUUAGUAACAUAAUUCAACAAUAGUGAUGCUCAUGACUUUCAUUCCAGUCAAUAUCUUCAGAGCUUGGUGAAAAAGGUAAACAACAACAAGACUAAGUAGCAAAAGAACUAACCUACGUAUCAGCUUCUUCUCACCAUUGGGCACAUGCCAAAACCUUUGAAAUUCAUUAAGCAUAUGUUACACAGAUGGUAUCAAAAGCGGUGAAAUAUUGAGUAGAACCAUAGUGAAUCACUAGGAAGGUAACGUACUUUCAAAUACCAGUUGAUAUUAAACCAGAAAGGGGUUGGCAAUAUUUUCUCAGACAAUUAAAUGUUUAAUGGUUUGAAAUUAGCAACUAAAGAAGAAGCGGAUACAAUAAUUGAUGAAAUACACGCAAUAAAAUCUUCUGAAAAUAUUUAACAAAGAAAAAAAAAAGGGUUAUUGACUGUCACAACAUAUCUGUCAGUGUCACUACACAUUUACAAUGUAUUAAUGUGGAUGCCAAUUCAAACAUGCAGAUAUAAAUGUGAAUGUUCGGAUUACAUUUGAAAAAAAGCUUGAACUUAACUUGAUGAUUGUUAUCGAGUUCUAGCAGUCGAAUUCAAGUAAUCAAAUGCUUGAUUUCAAUAACUUUGAAUUUAAUUGAGAUUUUAAAAUUAAAAUUGAAAAUUAAUUCAAACUCAAGCUUAAAAAUAAAUAAUCAAAUAUGAAAUUUAACUUAUUUUGUACUAGAUAAACAAGGCAACCUUCUCGUCUGAGCGUGUGUAAGUUUCCCUUCCUUCAUAGUGAAGUAAGGAAACAGUGGAAGAAUUGUGUACUUGAAAAAACAAAGGAACUCUUCUGCCCAACUGGAUCAUCUAGCGAUACAAGGAAUCCUUCACUUCAAAAGUUGGCACUAUUCUUACAAGUGAUGUUAGGUGAAGCUAGCAUGGCCAAUGUGGGACUCGUCGAGACAAAAGUUAAAAGAAAGGAAAAUGAAAAUAUUUAUCAAUGCACUAUGGGGGCACUGACACAAGCUCGCAAACUUUAUGCGAACUUAGCUAAAGAGAAUAAGAAAUUGUUGGAGCAAAACAAGAGGUUACAAAAGCAUCUUACUCUUACUGAAAAAGAUGUUGAAAAGCUGCAUGGGGUGAUCGCAGACAAACAAGCUGAUAAAAAUGUCUUGGAGGUUACUUUAAAAAUCAUGGAUGAACAACACAAAGCUGCCAUGGCUAACUUAGCCAAGAGCCAUGAGGAAGCUUUGGAGAAGUAUAAAAGAGAAACUAUGCAAAGUCUCCAAGAGUACUUACCUGAUUUAAAGGCUAACUUCCUAUUACAUGCUUAAGUGGCUGGUGGUCCUUUUGACGUGCGGAGAGUAAAUUUUGAUGCUUUUAAUGAGUUUACUGGUGCUCCGAUGGACUUCAACGUCUAUUUCCCUUUUGAAGCAGCUUGGGAAGAGUUUGCGGAGAAAUGAAAAAACUGUUUUUACCUCGCUGAAUAUCCUGCUAAGACCAGUGUUGCUCCUGUAGGUGAAUGUGAAGGCAAUGAGUGUGAAGGAGAAGAUGGAGAAGAAAAUGAAUCGCUUGCUGACCCUCUAGACACGAGUGCUAACUCGUGAUUUUCUUAUCUUAAUUGUACUUGUAGUCUCUGAAUUUGAAAUGAAAAUCUGAGUUUGCUUCUCA